UUCCAGACUCCUACGGGAGGCAGCAGUGGGGGAUAUUGCACAAUGGGGGAAACCCUGAUGCAGCGACGCCGCGUGUGGGAAGACGGUCUUCUGGAUUGUAAACCACUGUCCCCAGGGACGAAAAUGACGGUACCUGGGGAGGAAGCACCGGCUAACUCCGUGCCAGCAGCCGCGGUAAUACGUAGGGAGCAAGCGUUAUCCGGAAUUAUUGGGUGUAAAGGGUGCGUAGACGGGACAGCAAGUUAGUUGUGAAAGCCCUCGGCUUAACUGAGGAACUGCAACUAAAACUAUUGUUCUUGAGUGCAGGAGAGGAAAGCGGAAUUCCUAGUGUAGCGGUGAAAUGCGUAGAUAUUAGGAGGAACACCAGUGGCGAAGGCGGCUUUCUGGACUGUAACUGACGUUGAGGCACGAAGGUGUGGGGAGCAAACAGGAUUAGAUACCCCAGUAA
rnacentral:rRNA from 1 species